rnacentral:rRNA from 1 species
UACGAAGGGUGCAAGCGUUACUCGGAAUUACUGGGCGUAAAGCGUGCGUAGGUGGUGAGUUAAGUCUGUCGUGAAAGCCCCGGGCUCAACCUGGGAAUGGCGAUGGAUACUGGCUCGCUAGAGUGCGGUAGAGGAGAGUGGAAUUCCCGGUGUAGCAGUGAAAUGCGUAGAGAUCGGGAGGAACAUCAGUGGCGAAAGCGACUUCCUGGACCAGUACCGACGUUCAGGCACGAAAGCGUGGGGAGCAAACAGG